rfam:Tenericutes bacterium RIFOXYB2_FTLL_36_25 rifoxyb2_full_scaffold_6, whole genome shotgun sequence.
AAUGGAAGGUGACCGAGCUGUGAAUAACGGUUAGGAAAGUCCAUGCUAGCACAACCUGUGAUGGAUGUAGUGUUUGUGCCUAGGGAAAACAUAACCUAGGGUACGCUUGAUAGCGUAACGGCGAUCAAUGAGCUAAGGGAAACUAUGCUCUAGACGUAACGUGCCACAGAGACGAGCCUUUUAGAAAUAAAAGGAUGAAACGCGGUAAACCCCUCAAGCUAGCAACCCAAAAUUUGGUAGGGGCACAUGAACAAACGAAUGAUAAGUGCGUUCAUGCUACUUACAGUAGAGAUAAAUGGUCACACCUCGAAAGAGGCUACAGAACAUGGCUUAUGCAC